rnacentral:rRNA from 1 species
CUAGCAUAUCUAUGAGCGGAGGAAAAGAAACCAACAGGGAUUGCCUCAGUAACGGCGAGUGAAGCGGCAACAGCUCAAAUUUGAAUCUGGCCGCAAGGUCCGAGUUGUAAUUUGUAGAGGAUGCUUUUGGCGAGGUGCCUUCCGAGUUCCCUGGAACGGGACGCCAUAGAGGGUGAGAGCCCCGUACGGUAGGACCACCAAGCCUCUGUAAAGCUCCUUCGACGAGUCGAGUAGUUUGGGAAUGCUGCUCUAAAUGGGAGGUGUACGUCUUCUAAAGCUAAAUACCGGCCAGAGACCGAUAGCGCACAAGUAGAGUGAUCGAAAGAUGAAAAGCACUUUGAAAAGAGGGUUAAAAAGUACGUGAAAUUGUUGAAAGGGAAGCAUUCAUGACCAGACUUGGGCUUGGUUGAACAUCCGGCGUUCUCGCCGGUGCACUCUGCCAGUCCAGGCCAGCAUCAGUUUGCCCCGGGGGAUAAAGGCGGCGGGAAUGUGGCUCCCUUCGGGGAGUGUUAUAGCCCGUCGUGUAAUGCCCUGGGGCGGACUGAGGAACGCGCUUCGGCACGGAUGCUGGCGUAAUGGUCAUCAAUGACCCGUCUUGAAACACGGACCAAGGAGUCGUCUUCGUAUGCGAGUGUUCGGGUGUCAAACCCCUACGCGUAAUGAAAGUGAACGUAGGUGAGAGCUUCGGCGCAUCACCGACCGAUCCUGAUGUUCUCGGAUGGAUUUGAGUAAGAGCAUACGGGGCCGGACCCGAAAGAAGGUGAACUAUGCCUGUAUAGGGUGAAGCCAGAGGAAACUCUGGUGGAGGCUCGCAGCGGUUCUGACGUGCAAAUCGAUCGUCAAAUAUGGGCA